GAUAACAGGCUGAUUUUCCCCAAGAGCUCACAUCGACGGGAAGGUUUGGUACCUCGAUGUCAGCUCUUCGCCACCUGGGGCUGUAGUAUGUUCCAAGGGUUGGGCUGUUCGCCCAUUAAAGUGGUACGUGAGCUGGGUUCAGAACGUCGUGAGACAGUCC
rnacentral:ncRNA from 1 species